GGCUACAUGGUCGAGAUCUGCAACUGUCAAAAUCUCCCAGUUCUUCCACUUCCUUCAUGCCCUCUGAUCAAGUCACCUAAACCAAGUGCGAGCCUCGCAUCGUCACCGUCUCUGUAUGGGAAGCAAAGUUGGGAGCUGCGAUGCUUUGCAGAAGUUGCCUCUGUGAUGAUGGACAACUUGGUGGUGGACAUGAUGGACAUUUCAAUAUGAAGAAUCAAUCCAUGGGAGCGCCUAGUUUUGUGCAGCUUGCAGGAUUGUUUUAUAUUGAGUUUUGUAAAGAGAUGUUGAGAGCAGCUCUGUAAUGUAUGAAAAACCAGUAGGAUCGAGGGAGAUUUUCAAUUUCUACUAUAUAAUUAAUUAUUAUACACUGCUCGGUUUGAUCUGCUGUCCAUGUUCAAGGAAUUAAAAUUAAAAAUCCACUAUCCAUGUGCUUUC